GUAAGAGCCUCUUCUUUUCAUGCUGUAUUAGAGAGUUUAUUUACUACACACACUUUAAUUAUUCACACAUAUACAUGUAUUCUGAUCGAACAAUUCACAUCACAAACAUGUGUAAUAACAUUUGUCUCUUUCACAGAUUCCUGCUUCACCAGGUCGAUCCAGUCUGAGAGUCACAGUCCGGGCUCCUCCACAAAUCAUGGAGUCAACCAGAAUGAAACUCAUGAACACAACUCUCUUCAUCCUGGUGCAGAUGAACCGCGAGACGUCACAUACUCUCUUAUUAAACUUCAAAACCUUAGAAAGAAGAAGAAGCAUCAUAAAGCAGAGCAGAGUGCUGUUUACUCUGAGGUGAAGACGGGAGCUGCAGGUACAGUCACAACAGUCUCAUUCAGUGUUUGUACUUGAAUGUGUCAUCACAUCAUUAUAUUGCAGGUAAUUAUAGGUC